UUAAGUCCGUAACGAGCGCAACCCUUGUCCUUAGUUACCAGCACGUUAUGUGGGCGACUCUAAGGAGACUGCCGGUGACAAACCGGAGGAAGGUGGGGAGUGACGUCAAGUCAUCAUGGCCCUUACGGCCUGGGCUACACACGUGCUACAAUGGUCGGUACAAAGGGUUGCCAAGCCGCGAGGUGGAGCUAAUCCCAUAAAACCGAUCGUAGUCCGGAUCGCAGUCUGCAACUCGACUGCGUGAAGUCGGAAUCGCUAGUAAUCGUGAAUCAGAAUGUCACGGUGAAUACGUUCCCGGGCCUU
rnacentral:rRNA from 1 species